rnacentral:rRNA from 1 species
UCGAGUAAACUGGCGAAAGGGUGCGUAACACGUAGGCAAUCUUCCCUUGAGUGGGGAAUAACCCGCCGAAAGGCGGGAUAAUACCGCAUAACAUUUUUUUAUCGCAUGAUAAUUAAAUUAAAAAUUUAUUGCUCAGGGAUGAGCCUGCGGCCUAUUAGCUUGUUGGUGGGGUAACGGCCUACCAAGGUAACGAUGGGUAGCUGGUCUGAGAGGAUGAUCAGCCACACUGGCACUGAGACACGGGCCAGACUCCUACGGGAGGCAGCAGUGAGGAAUAUUGGGCAAUGGGCGAAAGCCUGACCCAGCAACGCCGCGUGGGUGAUGAAGCUCUGAGGAGCGUAAAGCCCUGUUAGGAGGGAAGAAUAUCUCGAUUUAUCGGGACUGACGGUACCUCCAGAGAAAGCUCCGGCUAACUCCGUGCCAGCAGCCGCGGUAAUACGGGGGGAGCAAGCGUUGUCCGGAUUUACUGGGCGUAAAGGGAGUGUAGGCGGGGUGGUGUGUCAGUGGUGAAAACUUGCGGCUUAACCGUAAGCGUGCUUCUGAUACUGCCACUCUUGAGUGCGGAAGGGGGAAGCGGAAUUCCUGGUGUAGCGGUGAAAUGCGUAGAUAUCAGGAAGAACACCAGUAGCGUAGGCGGCUUCCUGGUCCGCAACUGACGCUGAUACUCGAAAGCGUGGGAGCAAACAGGAUUAGAUACCCUGGUAGUCCACGCUGUAAACGAUGGGCACUAGGUGUUGGAGGUUUUGACCCCUUCAGUGCCGAAGCAAACGCAUUAAGUGUCCCGCCUGGGGAGUACGGUCGCAAGGCUGAAACUCAAAGGAAUUGACGGGGGCCCGCACAAGCGGUGGAGCAUGUGGUUUAAUACGAUCAACGCGAAGAACCUUACCUGGGCUUGAACUGCAGUGGAUCAUCUUGAGAAAUCUUGAUUUCCUUCGGGACUGCUGCAGAGGUGCUGCAUGGCUGUCGUCAGCUCGUGUCGAGAGAUGUUGGGUUAAGUCCCGCAACGAGCGCAACCCUUGUCCUUAGUUGCCAUCAGAUAAUGCUGGGCACUCUAAGGAUACUGCCCCGGAUAACGGGGAGGAAGGUGGGGAUGACGUCAAGUCCUCAUGGCCCUUACGUCCAGGGCUACACACGUGCUACAAUGGCUGGUACAGUGGGAAGCAAUACCGCGAGGUGGAGCCAAUCCUCAAAACCAGCCUCAGUUCGGAUUGCAGUCUGCAACUCGACUGCAUGAAGUUGGAAUCGCUAGUAAUCGUUGAUCAGCAGGCAACGGUGAAUACGUUCCCGGGCCUUGUACACACCGCCCGUCACGCCAUGAAAGUCGGAAGUACCAGAAGACGGUGGCCUAACCCGCAAGGGAGGGAGCUGUCAAAGGUAAGUCCGAUGAUUGGGGCGAAGUCGAAACAAGGUA